rnacentral:lncRNA from 1 species
ACAGUGGUAUGCUGAAGUCCCUGUUCCCUGUACGACAGGAUGUGACCAGAUUAUUGUGAGACAUUGUUUCUGUUCAGCCGUUCCACUCCUGGGAGCUAAUAAUCUACUCGGAGGCAGAAAGCCUUCAUAGGAAACAGGUCACAAGGCACGGCAUUACAGAAUUUCAGGACCGCAGAAUCUGUGCCCUGGAGCAGCCAAGCAGUCCUUGACAGUGGCAUCUCCUUAGACACACAGCUGGGUUCCCAGAAAGCCAUCGUCUGGCCUCUCUCCCUAGACUGGAAGAAAAUCUAUAGAGUUCAUACAUAGUUCCAGUGUGGAGAUGAAUGUCUUUCAAGGCAAAGGGUUUGCAUUAAAACAUAAAACCAUGAUGAAGUAGAAGGAGAAACUGGUCGUCAACGUGAGCAUGCCAGACAAGUCAGCAUGCUACGAGAAGAAGCAUGAGAAGAAGAAGGAGGAGGAGGAGGAGGAGGAGGAGGAGGAGGAGGAGGAGGAGGAGAAGGAGGAGAAGAAGAAGGAGAAGAAAAUCAAAUGUGUAUGAAUAAUUGAGCUGGGACCUUGAAUAAACUUAACCCAUUACUAUGCAGACUA